AAUAAAUUUAGCCGGGCGGUGGUGGCGCACGCCUUCAAUCCCAGCACUCGGGAGGCAGAGGCAGGCGGAUCUCUGCGAGUUCGAGGCCAGCCUGGGCUACAGAGUGAGUUCCAGGAAAGGCGCAAAGCUACACAGAGAAACCCUGUCUCGGAAAACAAAACAAAACAAAAUUAUAAAUCUUAAGAGACUCCCAGAUCCUAGCAGUGACCCCAAGGUCUCCAAAGAAGAUGAUGGGGAACCAUGAUGACUCCACCUGGGUUUGGUAACACUAAUCACUGGGAAAGACUGCACCAAUGCCGCAUCUGCAGCCAGGACCCUGCCCAAACUGUGGGAAAAAUCUCUCACCUUAUGGGCCUGGUGGACAAAGACUGAUACUGUCCUGGUAUCUCUGCCCUGAAUGCCAUGGAGACCACAGAUGCCUGGGAUACUUAUCUAGGUAAUGGAUUAGUCUCUGCCAUUUUACCUGAUACACAGGCCAUUUGGAUUAUACUCAUUACAAUUUAUCCUUCUCAAAUAUCUGAUGGUAUUAAUGGCUAGGCUAAUUGUAACUGUUAGCUUAGUAGAAGCAGGCAACAGGGUUCUUCCCCAAGGUUACACCAGCUUGUUAUCUCAUUUAAUAUUGAUUUUUCUAGAGCUACUAGGUAUCCUGUUGAGAAAAGGUAGAUAGGUUUGCCUUGUUAAUAGGCUUUGUAUGAAGAGAUAAACAGGUUUCAGGUACAACUUUCCACUAAAGGAACAUGAUUUGAAAUUACUGCUCUCAGUAAUAACUGCUAUUGUCUCUGGUAAAUGAAUAGGUGGAAAAAAGGGUUAAAGUCGGGGGCUGGAGAGAUGGCUCAGAGGUUAAGAGCACUGACUGCUCUUCCAGAGGUCCUGAGUUCAAUUCCCAGCAACCACAUGGUGGCUCACAACCAUCUAUAAUGAGAUCUGGUGCCCUCUUCUGGCCUGCAGACAUAUGGGCAAGCAGAAUACUGUAUACACAAUAAAUAAAUAAAUAAAUCUUUAAAAAAAAAAAGGGUUAAAGUCUGUGCAAGUUUUGAGGGUCUAAGAAUGUUUUAAGAUAUAUCAAAGUCUGAGGAUAUAAAAGCUUAAAUACAUUUUAAGAAUCUCAGAAUGAUUUAAGAUGUAAAUGCAAGUAGUAAAGAUAUAAAUAAAUGAUUUAAGAUAUAUAAAAAUGGGAAAUGUUUCAGAUUUCUUUCCCCAUCUAUGCUUUCUAUGCUAUUGUUACAUUACACCAAGACUUCAAAAGUUCAGAGUUCUGAUACACAUCAAUGGAGUUCUGAUAAGCUGGUAGAGCACUGACUACUUACUGUUCAGUCAUAAGCUCAGAUUUUAGAUUUCUUUUGGUUGUCUUCUAAGUAUAUACUUAAAGAUGCUUCCAUUGGGCUAAAGACAUUUCAGCCCAGUUGAUACAUGGCUUUCUGGAGAGAGAAAAAAAUGUUCAUGCUUUUUAACCCAAAUCUAUAGCUUUUGCUAGAACUAAAAGAUGUGAAUCUACUCCAGCUAUUUUAUAGACACCAGUUACCUACUAAUGAUACCUAAAACUUUUAUAUCUUUUUAUAAACUUAGAAAAAUAAUCAUGUAAGCUUCAGCAAAUCAAGGGAGUCAUAAGACUUGGAUCCACUUCUCACAGGUCAAAAGGACCCCAGAUAAGUAUAGCCUAAGUUUCCCACCUGUCUAUUCCUGAAGAUGGUAUCUCUCUCUCCUGGUCUUGGGACUCCCCCCCUUCCCCAAUUACUAGGAUUAUGGUUGUGAAAAAGUUCCAAAUGUACUAUUUUCCUUUAAGUUCAUAAAUUUUAACUUCUUUCCAUAGUCUAUAUCUGUCUUAGCAGGUUUCUACUUAGCUGACAGACACAUGCAAGCAUCAGCUGUGGACUACAACCGGCUGCAAAUGACUGAGAGCCCUGGACUUGCUGAAGGCUGAUGUGGACCAGUCCAGCUGAUGUCAAUGCUCCCUAUCUCUUCAGCUGUCUCUGCAAACAAGAUGCUUCUGUUACAUGUCCCAUUGCUUGAAUUCCCUCUUGGCUUUGACUAGCAUUAUAGCCUUCCUGGGCCCUGACAACAAUGUCCUUGUCUCAGCAGGAAGUAGUUACAGAAGAGAGUACAUCACCCCUUGUCCCCCAACAGGCUGGAAUAUCAAAUCAAAAGGAAACUCCCUGGCAUAGGGGGCAAAACAGUUGCCUAUAGUGCCUAUUGGCAUACCAGGAAAGGUACCUGCUGGAACCAAAUAGACCCAAAUCUAUCAACAGGUAGAUUCAUUAGCUUAAAUAGGGCUAUGAUAGGGUACUCAAGCUGUUCUGUAAUGUAAAACAAAGACAUUAUCAUAUAGCUUUAAGAAAAAAAAUAUUAUUUCUAUAUAAACCACUCUGGAAUCAUUAGAAAUAAUCUGGCUGUACUAAAGGAAAUCACUGUAGAAAAGGGGGACCUGAGAUGAAAUAAAAACUGGUUCCCAUUCUCAUUUCCAGGUUCUUUUUUGAUAGAAACUCUGUCAUUCAUCAAGGGGCCUUUGGCCUUCUGCUUUUGCUAAUUGCUGUUGGCUCUUGCAUCAUUGAUGCCUUAACUAAAUGAUAAUUCCUGUCUGGGUAUCAUUAAGCUGAUGAUUAUUAGAUCCCAAUAUAAACAGGCACCCAUUACAGAGUCAAGGAUUUGACUCAGGAUACAUCUCAAGGGGGCAAUGUGAGAGUCAAAGUUACAUUUUAAGUUUUAAUUACUAUGCCUAAGAGAUCCAUGAAACAAAAAUGCCUCUGAUCUGCAAUCUCUUUUCCCAAGGACAGAUAGUUCCUAAAAUGCUGGAGGCUAUUCUUUAUGGGAGAUAACGAGCCACUUGUUUUUCAUUCCCCUAAACAAGUUUUUUGACCCAUCUGCAUUGAUGUACUUGGUCACAUAUGGGCAGGAGGUUCACAGGCUGGAGUUACGUCAGGAUGUAUGCUUGACCCUGAUUGGACCAGAUGGGAAAUGCAAUGAAUUACGGGUUUUCCUUCUUAAGUUGCUACAAAUUGUGAUUCUGGGCCAUUUUCCAGGAUCCUUGGUAUGGACCUGGCCAGAGCCUAUCCCCGUGGCCAGUAUUUAAUUAAAGAUUGCUUCA